rnacentral:rRNA from 1 species
AGUGAACGCUGGCGGUAGGCCUAACACAUGCAAGUCGAACGGCAGCACAGUAAGAGCUUGCUCUUACGGGUGGCGAGUGGCGGACGGGUGAGGCAUACAUCGGAAUCUACUUUUUCGUGGGGGAUAACGUAGGGAAACUUACGCUAAUACCGCAUACGACCUACGGGUGAAAGCAGGGGAUCUUCGGACCUUGCGCGAUUGAAUGAGCCGAUGUCUGAUUAGCUAGUUGGCGGGGUAAAGGCCCACCAAGGCGACGAUCCGUAGCUGGUCUGAGAGGGUGAUCAGCCACACUGGAACUGAGACACGGUCCAGACUCCUACGGGAGGCAGCAGUGGGGAAUAUUGGACAAUGGGCGCAAGCCUGAUCCAGCCAUACCGCGUGGGUGAAGAAGGCCUUCGGGUUGUAAAGCCCUUUUGUUGGGAAAGAAAAGCAGCAGGUUAAUACCCCGCUGUUCUGACGGUACCCAAAGAAUAAGCACCGGCUAACUUCGUG